rnacentral:rRNA from 1 species
CCUACGGGGGCAGCAGUGAGGAAUAUUGGUCAAUGGCCGAGAGGCUGAACCAGCCAAGUCGCGUGAGGGAAGACGGCCUUACGGGUUGUAAACCUCUUUUGUCGGGGAGCAAAGAGAGUCGUGUGUGACUCCUUGAGAGUACCCGUAGACAAUGCGUCGGCUACCUCCGUGUCAGCAGCCGCGGUCAUACGGGGGAUGCGAGCGUGAUCCGGAUUUAUUGGGUUUAAAGGGUGCGCAGGUGGAGGUGCACGUCAGCGGUCAAAUUGCGGGGCUAAACCCCGUACUGCCGUUGAAACUGCAACCCUUGAGUGCGCGAGAGGUAUGCGGAAUGCGUGGUGUAGCGGUGAAAUGCAUAGAUAUCACGCAGAACUCCGAUUGCGAAGGCAGCAUACCGGCGCGCAACUGACGCUCAUGCACGAAAGCGUGGGUAUCGAACAGGAUUAGAUACCCCUGUAGUC